AGUGAACGCUGGCGGUAGUCCUAACACAUGCAAGUCGAACGGCAGCACAGUAAGAGCUUGCUCUUACGGGUGGCGAGUGGCGGACGGGUGAGGAAUACAUCUGAAUCUACUUUUUCGUGGGGGAUAACGUAGGGAAACUUACGCUAAUACCGCAUACGACCUACGGGUGAAAGCAGGGGAUCUUCGGACCUUGCGCGAUUGAAUGAGCCGAUGUCGGAUUAGCUAGUUGGCGGGGUAAAGGCCCACCAAGGCGACGAUCCGUAGCUGGUCUGAGAGGAUGAUCAGCCACAAUGGAACUGAGACACGGUCCAGACUCCUACGGGAGGCAGCAGUGGGGAAUAUUGGACAAUGGGCGCAAGCCUGAUCCAGCCAUACCGCGUGGGUGAAGAAGGCCUUCGGGUUGUAAAGCCCUUUUGUUGGGAAAGAAAAGCAGCAGGUUAAUACCCCGCUGUUCUGACGGUACCCAAAGAAUAAGCACCGGCUAACUUCGUG
rnacentral:rRNA from 1 species